AUAAAAGUUAGCAGUCAAUAGCCUACUGCCUUUACAGAAGAGGGAUUUUUCAUCGAUCCGUUGUCGCUGUCGACCUAAAAAGCAAUCUUACAGCUUAGGGCAUUUUCAAGCGAUGGGGUUUGACCUUCAAAUGCCGGAAAUAGACCACCCCCGAGGCAGAAGAAAUGGCACGAUCUCUAUCAGAAGAUAGAAAAAUGCCCCAUGCAAGCACGAGUUCAGACCACCCUUUUUGGAGGGUCUAUGACCUGUUACUGUGGCUUUCACUCUACUAAGGUAAACUGGUUUAAAAUAAAAUCUGAUUACAAUCA